GACGAACGCGUGGCGCAUGCCUAAUACAUGCAAGUCGAACGCGUUUAAUUUCGACCGGGUAGCUUGCACCCAUCGAAGUUAAGGAGUGGCGGACGGGUGAGUAACACGUGGGUAACCUGCCCAUAAGAGGGGGAUAACAUUCGGAAACGGAUGCUAAUACCGCAUAUUUCCAAUCGUCUCCUGACGAAUGGAAGAAAGGUGGCUUCGGCUACCGCUUAUGGAUGGACCCGCGGCGUAUUAGCUAGUUGGUGAGGUAAUGGCUCACCAAGGCAAUGAUACGUAGCCGACCUGGGAGGGUGAUCGGCCACACUGGGACUGAGACACGGCCCAG
rnacentral:rRNA from 1 species